UACCAGCACCCCGAGUGGUCGGGACGAUUAUUGGGCCUAAAGCCUCCGUAGCCGGUUCUACAAGUCUUCCGUUAAAUCCACCUGCUUAACAGAUGGGCUGCGGAGGAUACUAUAGAGCUAGGAGGCGGGAGAGGCAAGCGGUACUUAGUGGGUAGGGGUAAAAUCCGUUGAUCCAUUGAAGACCACCAGUGGCGAAGGCGGCUUGCCAGAACGCACUCGACGGUGAGGGAUGAAAGCUGGGGAGCAAACCGG
rnacentral:rRNA from 1 species